UUAGAUUUGAUGAAAUUGAUUUGAUGUUUUAAAUAUUGGCCAAUACUUAUGUUUAGAGGCCCUAUAAAUGGUCUCAUCCUGACGCUACCAUAUACUUAUGUUUAGAGGCCAUAUAACUGCUCCUUCUAAUCACAAAUAAAUUAAAUGUUAGGUUACAUAUAAUAAACCACCAUAGCUUUUGUUAUAAAUUAAUUCAUCCAGCUUAACAAAUACAAGGUGUGAUAUGAAUUGGCGUGGUAUCCAAAGCUCUUAAUUAACC
rnacentral:lncRNA from 1 species